GGCACUGUGCUAUGAGGAUAUGUAUGGUAGUGAUGGCCAUUAUGUAUAUUAACCUGUUAAUUCAGAAGGGUAUUUUUGACAAUUUCCGCCUAUAUUGCACUGUCCCAUUUAAAACUUGAAUAUCUAUGGUUCUAAACAUUGCAUAAUAACCAUUCAUAGCUUAAAUUAAAGAAGACACUUGGCCCAUCAAAUGCAAUCAGUUAAAGUGUUUUAUUAUGUCAUUUUAGUUUACAUUUCAGUGCAGCAAAACCAACAUUUUUGUCAGAAAAAAACAUAAAACGCCUAGUGUUUUUUUAUGUUUCAGUGUAGAACUGGGUUUUGAAUGUCAUAGGAAACUAACAUUUACAUUUCCUGAUGCAACAACAUCUUGACAGUGUGUGUAAAAAAUUUGAAGCAGAUAGACAAAAGUUUACAAGUGUUACACAUCAGUUUCCAUAUGAUACCUUUAGACGUCUCCAAGUGUCUCAUAACCUCUCCAACCUCACCAAAUACAAAAUCCAGUACCUGUCACUGUACAUCAAGAAUUCAUACUUUUUUCUUGCCUUCUGUACUACAGCAAACCAUUCUGAAUUAAUUUCAGUGUAAUAUAUUGUAAUUUAUUGUGACAACACAUAUGAUGGUCUAUAGCCUCUCCAAAAUAUACCCAAAAACCUAUCCAGAUCCAUAUAAAAGUACAUCAUGUAUGUUUUGUGGUUUUGUACUCAAAAGUACAUCAUGUAUGUUUUGUGGUGGUGUGUGGUGGGGUGUGGAGGUGGUGUAGUGGUGUGUAGUGGUGUGUGGUGGUGUGUGGAGGUGUGUAGUGGUGUGUGGAGGUGGUGUAGUGGGGUGUGGAGGUGGUGUAGUGGGGUGUGGAGGUGGUGUAGUGGUGUGUGGAGGUGUGUGGUGGGGUGUGGAGGUGGUGUAGGAGGUGGUGUAGUGGUGUGUGGAGGUGUGUGGUGGGGUGUGGAGGUGGUGUAGUGGUGUGUGGAGGUGUGUAGUGGUGUGUGGAGGUGGUGUGGAGGUGGUGUAGAGGCGUGUGGAGGUGGUGUAGAGGCGUGUGGAGGUGUUGUAGUGGGGUGUGGAGGUGGUGUAGUGGUGUGUGGAGGUGUGUAGUGGGGUGUGGAGGGGGUGUAGUGGUGUGUGGAGGUGUGUGGAGGUGUGUGGUGGUGUGUGGAGGCGUGUGGAGGUGGUGUAGUGGGGGUGUGGAGGUGUGUAGUGGUGUGUGGAGGUGGUGUAGUGGGGUGUGGAGGUGUUGUAGUGGGGUGUGGAGGCGUGUGGAGGUGUGUGGUGGGGUGUGGAGGUGGUGUAGUGGUGUGUGGAGGUGGUGUAGUGGUGUGUGGAGGCGUGUGGAGAUGGUGUAGUGGUGUGUGGAGGUGGUGUAGUGGUGUGUGGAGGUGUGUAGUGGUGUGUGGAGGUGGUGUAGUGGUGUGUGGAGGCGUGUGCAGGUGGUGUAGUGGUGUGUGGAGGUGUGUGGAGAUGGUGUAGUGGUGUGUGGAGGUGGUGUAGUGGUGUGUGGAGGUGUGUAGUGGUGUGUGGAGGUGGUGUAGUGGUGUGUGGAGGCGUGUGCAGGUGGUGUAGUGGUGUGUGGAGGCGGUGUAGUGGUGUGUGUGGUGGUGGUGUAGUGUGGAGGUGGUGUAGUGUGGAGGUGGUGUAGUGGGGUGUGGUGGUGUGUGGAGGUGGUGUAGUGGGGUGUGGGUGUGGAGGGAUAAGAUGAGAUGAGUUCUGUUCUGAUGAGAUGAGAUCUGUUCAGAUGAGAUGAAAUGAGUGGGGAGCGGACAGAUGCAUCUCCUGCAGGGACAUCUCUCUGGAAAAAAAUAAAUCAAUUGGCAAAUGUUACA
ensembl:lncRNA